GUGCAUAAUGGCUAAGUCUCGCUCCGAAACGAAAUCGAAGCGACCGGUUUUUGGGAACAAGACUCUGUUAAUUAUGCUCAAAAGCAAUCUCAUUUCAGCAUUGAGGUCUUGGGACUUGAUUAUGUCAAGAGGACCGCAAUCUUCUCUACCUAGGAUUAGGUUUAAGGCAACUUCCCUUUGGGGAUGUGAGGUCGGAGCCUCACCGUACUUGGGUAUUUGUAACAAACUAGAUAAGAUGUCCUCAUUGAUUUCUACCAAUGUGCCUCGGACAUAUCCAGUGUACC
rnacentral:lncRNA from 1 species